rnacentral:rRNA from 1 species
AACGAACGCUGGCGGCGUGCCUAACACAUGCAAGUCGAACGAGAAAGGGGCUUCGGCUCCGAGUAAAGUGGCGCACGGGUGAGUAACACGUGGGUAACCUGCCUCUAAGAUUGGGAUAACUCGUCGAAAGAUGAGCUAAUACCGAAUAAGACCACAGUUCCCGCGGGAACAGGGGUCAAAGGUAGCCUCUGCUUGCAAGCUAUCACUUAGAGAUGGGCCUGCGCACCAUUAGCUAGUUGGUAGGGUAACGGCCUACCAAGGCAAAGAUGGUUAGCUGGUCUGAGAGGAUGAUCAGCCACACUGGAACUGAGACACGGUCCAGACUCCUACGGGAGGCAGCAGUGGGGAAUAUUGCGCAAUGGGCGAAAGCUUGACGCAGCAACGCCGCGUGAGUGAUGAAGGCCUUCGGGUCGUAAAGCUCUGUCGGGAGGAACGAAUGCUCCUGAGGUUAACAGCCUCGGGAGGUGACGGUACCUUCAAAGGAAGCACCGGCGAACUCUGU